GUAUAAAAUGUUGACAUUUGACUAUGCCAUGUUUUUGUUCUGUUUUUGUUUAUUUGGUCAUGUAAGUGUUGCACAGUAUACAUGUCAUUCAUAAGUGGGAGUGUUAAGAGUGUAUGAAUGCAUGUACCUGUAACUGUUUCCUGAGUCGUGAUAUCAAGAGCACCAUUCCCAUAUAAGGGCAGUGUUCCCUCCCCUUUCUCAGUGUGUACCCGUCUCUCCCGUGAGCGGGCAGUUGAGCAUGUUGUGCUUGCAUUAAAGAAUGCCACGAGUCGGAUGGCUAAAGAGAUAAACGCCUGGACGUCCGUUCAUUCUCUGAAUAUCAUUGUUCCGCCGCGCAGGUAGGAGUAAGCCUACCUAUUAACAGAGAAGGCGCGCGAGGUGGUGGCGAGCGGCGUGGUGGCCCGCGGGGCGCAAGUGCCCGUUCUGUCGCUCGCCGUGCCGGCUGUCAGGGUGACGGACGGCGGUUGUUUUUACGGGAGACCCACAGGUCGGAAUGGUUGAAGGGCACACUGGGGGAACAUGGUAGUCAGCGACAAUGGAAACCUUUCAACUUUUCCUUGCAAACGACCACCGGGUCAAAGACGUCCUUACACUGGAUUAAUUGGGCCUUGCAAUAUUGAAUCCUGCGUCGUCUCCUGCCGUACAUCCAUUGAGUCAUAUCUUGGUCAGGUUUUUUUAACAUUGUUUCAUUCUCAAAAGAUGAAGCCAGUAUCAUUCAAGAGUCAAGGACAUCAGCAAAAACUGUUGACAGCAGUGUUUGAAGUAAAUGAGAAAGCUGAGCCCUCACAGAGCUCCUGAAAGGCAGUGAUAGAGCAAGAUGGGCGAGCGGGGCCAUGGUGGUGAUGGCGCUGACCUUCUGAUCAGGUUUAGUGGCUGCCCCUACGCCUGGCCCCGAAGGGGGGGGGGGAUCAAUAGAAUGGCAGGCUGCCAGUUUGAUAGAGGUGAAGUUUAGCUAAGAGAAUAGGGUGAGAUAGGGAGGGCUAUAGAUAUCUGAGUAGGAAUUAUCCAUGACACCUGGGCUCUCAAGCUGCAACCUUUAAGCGCAUGAUUUGGGAUCACUCCUAUUGGCGGGAUAGCCGUGGCACAUUCAGCACAUUCAAUACAGGCCAUUGUGCUCUGUCGGCUCCCACAGCUGAGAGACAUUUUCGGUUGUUUGUUUAGAGAUGCCUCCUACCUGCAGUGUUUCAGCCAGGCAUAUUCAAUUCUCUUUCGCACCUUCUUUAGUUUCACUUAUUUGUCAAGAUGAUGUGGGAAAAUCCCCUUUAAGUCAUUCAGUACAAACUUAUAUUUUUCUGCACUAGUGAGUUGAUAUGAAAAUGUUCUUUUUUUUUUUUUCAAGCUAUAGUAUAUCAUUCUUGAUAAUCUCUGUUUGCCGCCAGGAUGGUGUCAAUAAACUGACAUGUUGAGGACAAAUACAACAGCGUUUAUCUUGGUAGGAAUUCACAGCCUUUGCUUUAAACAAAGGUAAAAAAAGAGCUGUGCUUUCAUGUUUUGCAGAGGGAUAAACAUGGAUGAGACGGAAAAUGUUGGCUAUCAAAAGGUUGACAUUGAGCUAUUGUAGAUAGAAUGAAGGAUACAAGCGACGGAGC
ensembl:lncRNA